UUGAUUGUGAAUCGUUGCCUUCAGUGCUGGCUCCGGCAAGUGCACGUUGGUGACUUUCAUCCAGUCCCCUUGUGAACCUUUGGCCUCUUGCUGGCCUUGGCUGGCAGAGGAUUUACACAAACUUGAAUGUAACUGAAAGCCCUUGUUGUGCGCAAGCACUAAUGUA
rnacentral:misc_RNA from 1 species